UUUUCCCAAAUAAUCUUAAAUCCAAACACACUCAUAGUCUGAUCUGAGGGCUUCAGGCCUCAGCCAAAACUCAAGAAAAAUGUGUGAGGCUGCGGAGAGCCGGGGAGUUCUUAAAGGGUUGUUGCCCCUCUCUGUAUUGCCGAUGAUUUCCUGCCCAAAAAUACAUGCUUAAACAGCCCUUUGCAGAAAAAUCAAGAUGCUGAAAAGAACCAUGUUGUUUCCAGGGAAUCUUUUCUUGAGUUUGUUGUUGUUGUUGGGGCACGGAGUUCAUCCGACCCGUAUCUUGGCUGGGCAACCCUGAUGGCAUGUGAGCUGAGAUUUUCUCAUUCGCAUAGGCAACUGGGAAUUUUUGCAGCCAUGGCGGUGUCUUCCUCCAUUUUGCCUCCUCUUGAUGCGGAUCUGAGCCUAGUUGAACUGUGCAUGAUGAUUUACUGUCUUCUCUCAACUUCCCGAAAGGAAUGAGUUUGUUUAGUUUGCAUUCGACAUUUUUACUAGGUUUUAUCGUGCUUUUAGACUCAAUUUUUGAAUGCUAUAAUUCUAUCAGUAUUUUGACCCAAGAAAAUGAAAUAUCUGAUCGGCACUAGGGAAGAUAAUUUAUUUUCUGGCUACCAAACCUGCUUAUUGCUCUAUAAUUUUGGCUUGAAAGCCAAGUGAACUGGAGUAAUAUGCCUACUUAAGCUAGAUAGUAGCUAGUGAAAGCUUAGGUUUAUUGACGAUCAAAUGAUCACAUUUAUGCUUAUGUAGUAUGGUUGAGCUAUU